CCUACGGGAGACAGCAGUGAGGAAUAUUGGUCAAUGGACGCAAGUCUGAACCAGCCAUGCCGCGUGCAGGAAGACGGCUCUAUGAGUUGUAAACUGCUUUUGUACGAGGGUAAACGCAGAUACGCGUAUCUGUCUGAAAGUAUCGUACGAAUAAGGAUCGGCUAACUCCGUGCGAGCAGCCGCGUUAAUACGGAGGAUUCAAGCGUUAUCCGGAUUUAUUGGGUUUAAAGGGUGCGUAGGCGGUCGGAUAAGUUAGAGGUGAAAUCCCGAGGCUCAACAUCGGAAUUGCCUCUGAUACUGUUGGGCUAGAGAGCAGUUGCGGUAGGCGGAAUGUAUGGUGUAGCGGUGAAAUGCUUAGAGAUCAUACAGAACACCGAUUGCGAAGGCAGCUUGCCAGGCUACUUCUGACGUUGAGGCACGAAAGCGUGGGGAGCAAACAGGAUUAGAUACCCCGGUAGUC
rnacentral:rRNA from 1 species